CAGCACCUCAAGUGGUCAGGAUGAUUAUUGGGCCUAAAGCAUCCGUAGCCGGCGCUGUAAGUUUUCGGUUAAAUCUGUACGCUCAACGUACAGGCUGCCGGGAAUACUGCAAAGCUAGGGAGUGGGAGAGGUAGACGGUACUCGGUAGGAAGGGGUAAAAUCCUUUGAUCUAUUGAUGACCACCUGUGGCGAAGGCGGUCUACCAGAACACGUCCGACGGUGAGGGAUGAAAGCUGGGGGAGCAAACCGGAUUAGCUACCCGAGUAGUCC
rnacentral:rRNA from 1 species